CACACACACAACUGAAUGUUUCUUAAUAAAAUUUAAAAGAAUUUAAAAAAUCUAAGUUUAUCCUCUGCUUUAGUUACUACCAGAGAUUCAGAAGUCUCUUACACAAUUCGCAAUUUUAUUCUGAAAACAAGGCAAACAGAUUUAAAAUAAAGCCAAAACAGUAUAUGAUUGUAGUGAAUUGAGUGGUGUCUCCCAAAAGAACUCAUGUUUACCCAGAAUCUCAAAAGGGUAUCUUAUUUGGAAUAAAGGUCCUUGCAUAUGUAAUUAAGGUAAGAUUAGUAAUAAGAUCAUAUUGGCUUAGGGUGGGAUCUGAUACCUGGUGUCCUUUUAAGAAGAGAAGAGAACACAGAUAGGAGAGAAGGCUGUGUGAAGAGGGAGUUAGAGCCUGAAGUCAGGCUGCUGCAAGCCAAGGAAGACCAGAAGCCACCAGAAGCUGGAAGAGGCAAGGAAAGAUUCUCUCCCGGAGCCUUGGAAGGGAGUGUACCCCUGCUGUCACCGUGAGUUUGGACAUCUGGCUUCCAGAAUGAUCUGCAGUGCAAUUGUGCCCAUGUGUGUGCUUUCUACAUGAUUUCUGGUCAUCUGUGAGCUUGAUUUCUCUUGUCUUGCCAUGGUGAGUUACAUCAAACAUACCUGCAGAUUUCCUGACUGACAUAGAGUCUCCUUCUCCUUCCAGCGCCUUCAUGAUCACUGUCCCCUUUUGAAGAUUCUUUUUUCAACUCUCUCUUUUUCAAAAGAUUACUUUGUCACAAUUAUUCAGGAAAGGGUUUUGCGCCUGUAGGAAAUAUUAAUAGACUAUUAUGAGGUCCUACAACUAAUUUUUCCACACAUAUCAUCUGUCUUUGCAUGGUUAUUAAACUUCAACAAUAUUUCAUGCAAUGCUUC
rnacentral:lncRNA from 10 species